rnacentral:lncRNA from 1 species
UUAAUCAACUAAAGUUUCAACCAAAAUUCAACUAGAUUAAAGGAAUUCAGCCAUGGCUGAAUUAAAAAUAGAAAAUAAAAGUAAAAAGAAAGAAAGGAGAACCGAAGAGAUUGCGAGGAAUUGGAAUCUGCCCUUUGCGUCAAGCCUUGCGAAAAUUGCCGAGAGGAGAGAAUUGGUUUCCUGGUGGCCACUUAAGAGUCUUUAAAUAGGAGGAGAGGAGUGUGCCCUAGCUUCCAAUUGCGGUCCACAUGCGGAUGAAUUUGAUGAAGUGCUGGCCAUGUGCGUGAAUUGAUGAGAUGCUUUGGUCCCGUGCAAGAUGGGUUGGUCCAUGUGCUGAGUACUUUGGCGGGUCCGUGCGGAUCCCAUGUGUGUGAGAAUGCGCUUGGUCCAUUGGCGUGAAGCGCUUGGUCCAUGUGCUUGGCCCAUUUGCGUGAAUGUGUGGAUCCAUGUGCUUGGCCUGGUCCACGUGAGGUGCUUGAUGGGUGUGGGAAUGGGCUAUCCGUGAUUGCAAAGUCGCUUGAAUAUUUAAAUUUUAAAAUAUUUUCCUCAUUUAGCUUGACUUGAAUCUAACUUGGCAGGCUUGCUCUCUUUUGCUCCAAAUAAGGCAGUUUUAGGGGGAUUUUCUUCAAAUUGUCCUUUUACACCAUUUUCUACAAAAUAAUAUUAAAAGCACUAAAUUAAGCAGAAAUCAUGUAAAUAUUCAUCAAUAAUAUUAAUAUAAAAUGGACUAAAUUAUGCUCUAUCAAUUAUUUUGGUAUUUUAAUAUUUUGUGGAAUUUGUUUUAAAUUAAUUUGGCCUAUAUUAGAAGCCAAAUUCCUGCAGCCCAUUUAGAAAGGAAAUUUCUCCAAGAUAAUUUAGAAAAAUAAUUUUUAAUGUAAUCCAACUUUGACUAUUUGAUUACAUACCCUUCCUAUAUUGUAAUUACACCUUCCUAUAAUAGAAUUAUGGUUUGAAGGCUAUAAAAACAUUCUUAAGGUUGUAGGCACAAUGAGCCAAUGAAUAAAGAUGAUGUUAUGAAUAAUAUUUUGGUUUUCUCCAUUUUUAGCAACUUAUUAAGGUUUAACCUUAUGGCGUUCUAUUAUGGAUCUCCUUCAUACUUAGUUAACUUAUCAAGAAUUUUUUGUGGUGUUCUCGAAACUAAAAUCGCUUAAUUAUCUAUAUUUCUAAUCAUAUUGGUUGGUUAAGGGUGUGUUAGAGCAAUAUUCGCUCCAUUAUCUAUAUUUUUAAUUACAUUGGUUGGUUAGGGAUGUAGUAGAAGAACAUUCUGGAAGAUAUCUUUCCUUUGUUAUUUGUCAAGUAGUGUGACGGAGUUUUUAAUCACAUGUUGAUUCUGGGU